UUGGUUUUAUGAUUUGACAAAAAUUCAUGGUGGAUUUAGCCACAAUGACCUACACAAUGAGAUACGUGGACACAAAACGAACAGUUCACAUGAUACGUGCUCGGCCCUGGUGCCCCCUUAUUUCUACACUAUAGCUUGUCCUCGACGAAUGAACUAUAUCUAUCAUCCAUGCCUUGCCCGCCUGAUCAUUAUUUAUUUGGAGGGAGGUGAAGAAACAAACGAGCAAGGAGCAGUGGAGAUCAAAGUAAAGACAGUAGAUUAUCGAUCGCCGGCAGGGGAAGACAAACAGCCCAAGAAGGAGAAGGUUGAGGUGGUUCAUGAGAUUCGAGAUGGAGGAGGUAGUGACUUUGUUAAUCUUGAUGCAACUGCUGCAGUUGCACAUACCCUCAAGUCAGCCAGGGAUGCCAUUUCUGGAAGUGACAAAUAUAAGAUCACCAAAUGAGUGAGACCAUUAGAUAUGAGAAUAUGUAACAUGUGCAUGUUCUUUGUUUGAUGGGAUCCGGAGGUGAUCCCAGUCCAUUUAUCGAUUACACUAACCUUUUUUGUGACAAUCACAAAAUCCUCCUAAUGUCUGCAGAAGGAUAAAAGGGGUACCUAUGAGCCAUCCCAAAUCCCUUCCCUCUCCUAGUGCAGAAAGAGGGAACUAGAUGACUCAUUGACAAUUGAGGUCUGAGAGCUUUUCAAAGUUGUGUUAUGUCCAAAUUGAAAUUAUAGCAGCCGGCCGGUGCAAUAUUUCCCCUGGCCCAUAUAUUCGUAUGCUUUUCAGAAAAUAUAUUGUGAGCCUCCGUUACAGUGUCCUGCUUACCGACAUUACUAAAAUAAAAAAAGCAUAAGAAAUAUGUGCUGACCUGCUACACUAUGAGAUACGUGGACACGAAACGUACGGCUCACGUGAUACGCGUCAGUUCCUGGGAUCAACCGGAGAAACAAACGAGGAUAUCAAGGUGCAGACAGUAGAUUACCGAUCCCCAGCGGGAGAAGACAAAGAAGCGAAGAAGGAGGACGUUGGAAGUGGUUCAUGAGAUUCGAGACGGCGGAGCAAAGAGUGAGGGCGUUCACCCUUUUGCAGGUGCAGCUGCUGCCGUAGCAAACACCAUUCAAUCAGCAAAGGAUGCCAUCUCAGGCGGUGCCAAAAAAAUUCAAAGAUGACAAGACCGCUGAAUAAGUGAGAGCAGCUGGUGCAUGAUGACAUGAUAUUAUGUAACGUUUAUUUGUUUUUGGAAGUAAAUAAAAACUGUAUUACGAAAUGGAGUUCAAGUGCAUGUAUAUUUGUAUUUGUUUGUUCUUGCUUAGUUAGGCACGUUGUCUGUUCCAUAUGACAUGAUAAGACCUGGUGACCUAUAUGGUUUUCUUUUGUAGCAAUUUUUUUUUAGAAAUUAUGCAUCAAAUACUAUUGUUCCA